AUACGAAGGCGGCAAGCGUUGUUCGGAAUAACUGGGCGUAAAGCGCACGUAGGCGGAAUGUUAAGUUAGAGGUGAAAUCCCAGGGCUCAACCCUGGAACUGCCUUUAAUACUGGCAAUCUAGAGACCGAGAGAGGUGAGUGGAAUUCCGAGUGUAGAGGUGAAAUUCGUAGAUAUUCGGAGGAACACCAGUGGCGAAGGCGGCUCACUGGCUCGGUACUGACGCUGAGGUGCGAAAGCGUGGGGAGCAAACAGGAUUAGAAACCCUAGUAGUCC
rnacentral:rRNA from 1 species